rnacentral:rRNA from 1 species
GGACCUGACUGCUAUCGGAUUGAUACUAAGCCAUGCGAGUCAUUGUAGCAAUACAAGGCAGACGGCUCAGUAACGCGUAGUCAACCUACCCUAUGGACGGGAAUAACCUCGGGAAACUGAGUAUAAUGCCCGAUAGAACAUUAUGCCUGGAAUGGUUUGUGUUCCAAAUGAUUUAUCGCCGUAGGAUGGGACUGCGGCCUAUCAGUUUGUUGGUGAGGUAAUGGCCCACCAAGACUAUUACAGGUACGGGCUCUGAGAGGAGUGGCCCGGAGAUGGGUACUGAGACACGGACCCAGGCCCUAUGGGGCGCAGCAGGCGAGAAAACUUUGCAAUGUGCGAAAGCACGACAAGGUUAAUCCGAGUGGUUUCUGCUAAAGGAACCUUUUGUCAGUCCUAGAAACACUGAUGAAUAAGGGGUGGGCAAGUUCUGGUGU